UACGUAGGGUGCAAGCGUUGUCCGGAAUUAUUGGGCGUAAAGAGCUCGUAGGCGGUCUGUUGCGUCGGCUGUGAAAACCCGGGGCUCAACCCCGGGCCUGCAGCCGAUACGGGCAGACUAGAGUUCGGCAGGGGAGACUGGAAUUCCUGGUGUAGCGGUGAAAUGCGCAGAUAUCAGGAGGAACACCGGUGGCGAAGGCGACAUCCUGGACCGGCAUUGACGCUGAGGCGCGAAAGCUAGGGGAGCAAACGGG
rnacentral:rRNA from 1 species